rnacentral:tRNA from 1 species
CUCCUGAUAGCUCAGUUGGUAGAGCGAUGGACUGUAAUUGAAAACUUAAGAGAUCCACAGGUCGCGUGUUCGACUCACGCUCGGGAGA